rnacentral:rRNA from 1 species
GUGAGGAAUAUUGGUCAAUGGGCGAGAGCCUGAACCAGCCAAGUAGCGUGAAGGAUGACUGCCCUAUGGGUUGUAAACUUCUUUUAUAGGGGAAUAAAGUGAGCCACGUGUGGCUUUUUGUAUGUACCCUAUGAAUAAGGAUCGGCUAACUCCGUGCCAGCAGCCGCGGUAAUACGGAGGAUCCGAGCGUUAUCCGGAUUUAUUGGGUUUAAAGGGAGCGUAGGUGGACAUGUAAGUCAGUUGUGAAAGUUUGCGGCUCAACCGUAAAAUUGCAGUUGAUACUGUGUGUCUUGAGUACAGUAGAGGUGGGCGGAAUUCGUGGUGUAGCGGUGAAAUGCUUAGAUAUCACGAAGAACUCCGAUUGCGAAGGCAGCUCACUGGACUGUUACUGACACUGAGGCUCGAAAGUGUGGGUAUCAAACAGGA